rnacentral:lncRNA from 1 species
GCGAGACCCACAAAUAAAGGGGAGCGCAGGGGUUGCGGCGGGACUAGGAGCGCGGCGGGGCCGGCGGCAGAGCUGUCCGGCUGCGCGGUGGCCCGGGGGGCCCGGGCGGCAGGGCAAGCAGCGCGGCCUCGGCCUAUGCGACCGGUGGCGCCGGCGCGGCUUCUGCCUGGAGAGGAUUCAAGAUGACCAACGAAGAACCUCUUCCCAAGAAGGUAUGGGUUUUGGUUUUGGGUUUUUUUGUUUUGUUUUGGGUUUUUUGGGGGCUUUUUUAAGCACUUUAAAAAAAAAUAGACUUGAAGGGAUUAUCGUUGUUUGCUUAUUUUUCAUUUCUUUGCCUUUAUAACAAUAAUAGCAUUGGAGUUGUACAGUGUGCCAGAUAUUGUAUCUUAUAUCCAGUAUAUUUUUUAGAAUAUUUUCAGAUUUUGGAAAACUUUAGUUAUAAUAAUAUUCCCAUGGUCUACUCUUAAUGUUCAUUAUGUGAAUAUUUCCAGGUCUACUCUUAAUGUUCAUUAUGUAAAUAUUUCCAGGUACAUAUAUACAAAUAAUGUCAAAAAUGGACAUUAUGAGUAUAUUAUUAUUCUUUUCCUAGUGUAAAUCCCUUUGAUUGUAAUUAAAAACUACUUUAUUAAAAAAAU